rnacentral:rRNA from 1 species
UACGAAGGGGGCUAGCGUUGCUCGGAAUCACUGGGCGUAAAGGGUGCGUAGGCGGGUCUUUAAGUCAGGGGGGAAAUCCUGGAGCUCAACUCCAGAACUGCCUUUGAUACUGAAGAUCUUGAGUUCGGGAGAGGUGAGUGGAACUGCGAGUGUAGAGGUGAAAUUCGUAGAUAUUCGCAAGAACACCAGUGGCGAAGGCGACUUCCUGGCCUGUUCUUGACGCUGAGGCGCGAAAGCUAGGGGAGCAAACGGG